rnacentral:lncRNA from 1 species
AUCAAAAAAGUCUUGGAUAAAUUUCAACUUUUUAACUAAUGGCAUCUCAAGGAAAAUGUUUUAAGUCAAUCAAACAACAACUUGAAGAGUGAGUUUCUAUUUUCCUCGACAUUUCUUUUUCGUCUCUUCAUUUUUUUUAUUAAUCUUGAAUGUUUUAGGGCUCACAUGUGUUUUCUUUUUUUUGGUUUCUCAGGUCAAAGAGAGGCUGAGAUGUUUGAGGUUGCGUACGGGGCUUUUCUUUAGGAAUAUUCGAUACUAAAAGAAAGUAUCAAAAAUGCAAGUUGCCCUGUUUGUAAGGAGAAAAUAUCAGAAUACCUCAAAGAAAAAGAAAAUGACCGAGUAGGACCCAAGGGGAAACAUCUUUAUUUAUUGUAAGAAUUUAUAACAUAUGAUAAUCGUAGUUCUCCAAAAAAAUAACUUGUACUCUUAUGGUUUACUCUUAUAAAAAUUCAGCAAUAC